GUUACUGCGAAGGGGGGACGGAGAAGGCUAGGCUAGCCGGGCGACGGUUGUCCCGGUUUAAGCGUGUAGGGGGUGUGACCUGGUAAAUCCGGUUACAUAUCAACCCUGAGGCGUGAUGACGAUGCACUACGGUGCAGAAGUAGUUGAUGCCCUGCUUCCAGGAAAAGCCUCUAAGCUCUAGGUAACAUUGAAUCGUACCCCAAACCGACACAGGUGGUCAGGUAGAGAAUACCAAGGCGCUUGAGAGAACUCGGGUGAAGGAACUAGGCAAAAUGGUGCCGUAACUUCGGGAGAAGGCACGCUGGCAUGUAGGUGAAGUCCUUCGCGGAUGGAGCUGAAGCCAGUCGAAGAUACCAGCUGGCUGCAACUGUUUAAUAAAAACACAGCACUGUGCAAACACGAAAGUGGACGUAUACGGUGUGACGCCUGCCCGGUGCUGGAAGGUUAAUUGAUGGGGUCAGCCGCAAGGCGAAGCUCUUGAUCGAAGCCCCAGUAAACGGCGGCCGUAACUAUAACGGUCCUAAGGUAGCGAAAUUCCUUGUCGGGUAAGUUCCGACCUGCACGAAUGGCGUAAUGAUGGCCAGGCUGUCUCCACCCGAGACUCAGUGAAAUUGAACUCGCUGUGAAGAUGCAGUGUACCCGCGGCAAGACGGAAAGACCCCGUGAACCUUUACUAUAGCUUGACACUGAACAUUGAGCCUUGAUGUGUAGGAUAGGUGGGAGGCUUUGAAGCGUGGACGCCAGUCUGCGUGGAGCCAUCCUUGAAAUACCACCCUUUAAUGUUUGAUGUUCUAACUCGGCCCCAUAAUCUGGGGUGAGGACAGUGUCUGGUGGGUAGUUUGACUGGGGCGGUCUCCUCCCAAAGAGUAACGGAGGAGCACGAAGGUUAGCUAAUCACGGUCGGACAUCGUGAGGUUAGUGCAAAGGCAUAAGCUAGCUUGACUGCGAGAGUGACGGCUCGAGCAGGUACGAAAGUAGGUCUUAGUGAUCCGGUGGUUCUGAAUGGAAGGGCCAUCGCUCAACGGAUAAAAGGUACUCCGGGGAUAACAGGCUGAUACCGCCCAAGAGUUCAUAUCGACGGCGGUGUUUGGCACCUCGAUGUCGGCUCAUCACAUCCUGGGGCUGAAGUAGGUCCCAAGGGUAUGGCUGUUCGCCAUUUAAAGUGGUACGCGAGCUGGGUUUAGAACGUCGUGAGACAGUUCGGUCCCUAUCUGCCGUGGGCGUUGGAAGAUUGAGAGGGGUUGCUCCUAGUACGAGAGGACCGGAGUGAACGCACCACUGGUGUUCGGGUUGUCAUGCCAAUGGCAUUGCCCGGUAGCUAAGUGCGGAAAAGAUAAGCGCUGAAAGCAUCUAAGCGCGAAACUUGCCUCAAGAUGA
rnacentral:rRNA from 1 species